AGGCCCUGAAAGAAACGUUCUUCAGCAGCAAUAAAUGAAAGCUAACACAUGGAUAUUUGUGUCUGAAACACAUUUUGUUUCAGAACCAAAAGCUAGGAGUUCGCUUGUGGCACAGCAGGUUAAGGGUCUGGCGUUGUCACUGGCAUUGCUAAGGAACCUGCCAGCUCGGGUUCAGUCCCUGGCCUAGAAACUUCCAUAUGCCGUGGAUGUGGCCAAAAACAAAACAAACAAAACCAAAGGCUAGUCAAGAAAUAGGGAGUUCCUGUCGUGACACAGUGGAAACACAUUGGACUAGGAACCAUGAGAUUUUGGGUUCGAUCCCUGGCCUCCAUCCAUGGCUUAAGGAUCUGGCGUUGCCAUGAGCUGUAGUGCAGAUCACAGACAUGGCUCAGAUCCUGCGUUGCCAUGGCUCCCAUUGGACCCCCUAGCCUGGGAACCUCCAUAUGCCACGGGUGUGGCCCUAAAAAAAAUUGCUAGACAAGAAACAAAUAAGAAACCUUGGCUUCACUGCUCAAAACCAAGCCCAGAGACAACGUGGUCCUGAUCUGAGGUCCCACACAUUUCUUUCCCAGCUAGGGGUCAAAUCGGAGCUGUAGCCACCAGCCUACACCAGAGCCACAGCAAUGCGGGAUCCGAGCCGAAUCUGCAACCUACACCACAGCUCACAGCAACGCCAGAUCCUUAACCCACUGAGCAAGGGCAGGGAUCAAACCCACAACCUCAUGGUUCCUAGUCGGAUUCGUUAACCACCGCGCCACAGCGGGAACUCCUAUUCUUGAGUAGAUUAUAUUUAACUUAACAUGAUGUCAUGUGUGGCUAUGGCUGCAAGACUGGUUUUUGGAGUCAGACCCACCUGGUUUGAAUUCUGGUUCUCUGCCUAAUAGCCGUGUAUCCGAGGCAAAUGUGCUUAGUCUGUUCAGCCUCAAUGUCCACAUCUACACAAUGGGGAGGAAGAUACUGCCUAUCACAGGACUGUUGCAUUAAGAAAUUUUAUAAGGUAAGCCCAGCCUCUGACACAUAGUAAGCAAUCAAGACCUUGAUAAGGCCUGCACUGCCUCCCAAAUUCAUUCUCCUACCACGCUGUCCACGUUCACUGCCCUUCAGCCACGGUGACCUCGCUACUCUUCUUUGAAGGGGCCGAGUUUUUCCCACUUCAGGACCUUAGUUAGCACUUGCUUUUCCCUCUGCCAGCAACAUCUCACUCUCCCUCAGCCCCAUCCACACCUCUGGCUCCUGCGCAUCCUCCUGGUGUCAGCCAGUGUCUUCCAGGAGUAGGGCCAGCCAGUUAAUAGCAUGGAUUCUUGAUUCAAAUCCUGGCUCUAAUGCCUUCUGGCUCCAUCGCCUGCAGCAAGUUACUUCUCUGUAACCCACUUUCUUCAGCUGAAGAAACUGAAUGGAGUGUUAAUAUCUAUGAGGUUGUUGUGAGGA
rnacentral:lncRNA from 1 species